rnacentral:rRNA from 1 species
GGCUGAAAUUCGCCUUCAUGAAGCCGGAAUUGCUAGUAAUGGCAGGUCAGCAUACUGCCGUGAAUACGUUCCCGGGCCUUGUACACACCGCCCGUCACACCAUGAGAGUUGGAGAUACCCGAAGCCUGUGAGCUAACAAACGAGGCAGCAGUCGAAGGUAGAAUCAAUGAUUGGGGUGAAGUCGUAACAAGGUAUC